rnacentral:lncRNA from 1 species
UGUUUGGCCUUGUCGAAAAUGAGGCAAUGAAUUGGAUAAUAACCCGGGGAGACCUAGGUUAUAUACCUGUUAUUCAUUGAGGUUUCACAGUAUUUCCGUUGGACAUGUAUCGGGCUCCGGUGAAACUCUUGGCAUACUUAAUAAAGACAAAUGCCAAAAAAUAAAGUUGGCAUUGGGUGCAGUUGGCACACCAACAAGGGUGCAGUAUUAAGAGGGUGUAUUCAAGUAGGAUUUCAUAGAUUAUUUUUAAUCUAUGAAUUUUAAGAAAUUGUAUCUGAUUUGAGUUUGUAUGGUUUUUUGAUAAAAUAUGG